rnacentral:rRNA from 1 species
ACUCCUACGGGAGGCAGCAGUAGGGAAUCUUCCACAAUGGGCGCAAGCCUGAUGGAGCAACACCGCGUGAGUGAAGAAGGGUUUCGGCUCGUAAAGCUCUGUUGUUAAAGAAGAACACGUAUGAGAGUAACUGUUCAUACGUUGACGGUAUUUAACCAGAAAGUCACGGCUAACUAUGUGCCAGCAGCCGCGGUAAUACGUAGGUGGCAAGCGUUAUCCGGAUUUAUUGGGGCGUAAAGAGAGUGCAGGCGGUUUUCUAAGUCUGAUGUGAAAGCCUUCGGCUUAACCGGAGAAGUGCAUCGGAAACUGGAUAACUUGAGUGCAGAAGAGGGUAGUGGAACUCCAUGUGUAGCGGUGGAAUGCGUAGAUAUAUGGAAGAACACCAGUGGCGAAGGCGGCUACCUGGUCUGCAACUGACGCUGAGACUCGAAAGCAUGGGUAGCGAACAGGAUUAGAUACCCUGGUAGGAUAGCG